rnacentral:lncRNA from 1 species
GGGGAGGAUAUUUGUAAUAGCUAAUAGCUAGCAAGACGGAAAAAUUAUAAGAACUAAAGAGAUGAGAAGCUUCUUCAGUUUUUAUGGUCGUAGCCAUGGUCACAAAGAAGAAUAAAUAGGAGACGAGUAGAAAAGAAACUUUUGCACCAAGUAGUUGCUGAUUAUUAACCUACAACACGUGCAUCUUCUUUGAAAUAAUUAAGCAUGUUACCAAACAGUAAACUAUAUUUUUAUUAUGAUAAGAGGUUAAAACUAGCAUAUAUGCUACCCACAACAGGCAUGUCCCAGUGAAAAUGAUGCUUCACUAUGCUGGACUGUGAGGUGAAAUACUUUGUGCUUGAUAUUUUUUUCUAUGUUCACCAUAACAUAGUACAUGAUGGGGUAUAUCUAUGGGUUUCCG